UCCAGGGUAGCUUAGUGGACAUGGCAUCUGUCCGGUAAGCGGAACACUGUGGGUUCGAUUCCCAUCCCUGGAC
rnacentral:tRNA from 1 species